GAUGAAGAACGUAGCGAAAUGCGAUAAGUAGUGUGAAUUGCAGAAUUCAGUGAAUCAUCAAAUCUUUGAACGCACAUUGCGCCCCUUGGUAUUCCGAGGGGCAUGCCUGUUCGAGCGUCAUUAUAACCCCUCAAGCUCAGCUUGGUGUUGGGGCCUGCUGCACUGGCAGCCCUUAAAAUCAGUGGCGGCGCCAUCUGGCUCUAAGCGUAGUAAUUCUUCUCGCUAUGGAGUCCUGGUGGAUGCUUGCCAUCAACCCCCAAUUUUUCUAUGGUUGACCUCGGAUCAGGUAGGGAUACCCGCUGAACUUAAGCAUAUCAAUAAGCGGAGGA
rnacentral:misc_RNA from 1 species